GGCGUUUGCACGCAGGCGCAAGGAAAGAACGACGCAUGACGACGCCCUCGCCGCUUACAAAUAUGGCCGCGCUAUCAAAUGUCGUACAGGCCGCAAAACUACUAUCAUUUGCAAGAGAAGCGGCGCAUUCCCAAAAACGAUUUUUCUGGCAGUGGCUGAAUGCUGUAUUCAACAGAUAUGACCGAGACCGUAUCAAGGAGAUCGGGCCGGAUAGAGCGGCAGCAGAGUGGCUCAUACGAUGCGGAGCUGCUGUCAGGUGGAGCGGAGCUAUUAAGUUUCACUCCGACUACAACACACUGCCGUCCACGAGCUCAAACGCUUACAAGAUAGAAGAAAUUGAUGCGACUGACUCGUCAAUUAUGGAGAUAGGCUUUCCUUACUUGAAAGAGCUGACUCUUCUGAAAUCAAUCAACUUGACGCGCUGCAACUUUCUCGGGGAUAAGGCAUUGCAGAUGUUGCAACUUCGCAAGGAUAGUCUAGAAAAAGUGAACGUUAUCAGCUGCGGAAACGUGACAGACGCUGGAGUCAAGUCGCUGGCAGAGCUCACGGUAAUGCAGCCCACGUAUGGGGAGAGGUGUUUCGGUCUGCUAAAGAAGUUCCUGGCACAACAAUUCACGUGCAACGGUGAAACCAAGACAUCAGUGUGACAGCAGUUCCCCACAGUCAGCCGGACGAAUUCUACCACAGGGGCAUCUCAAUUUAAGUGCUGCAAUGGGACAUAUGUCUGAACCAGUGUGAGCACUGUGUGGAAAAGUAGUGUAAGGAAGUUGCGUUAUCUAGAGCUCUUCGACCUACCUGGAGUUCGGGACCGUGAAGCGGUUCUCGAACACUUCAACCAGCUGCUUCCGACCUGCAAGGUUGACUUCCCCGACGUGAACGAAACCACAAAACCAAAAAAGUGAUCACGUGGAUGCACCAUGCAGUUCAUCCCGUUUCCGAAACGAUUCUACUGUAGAUACUUGUAAUGAGUUUAUUCACAUAUUUACAACGGCAAAUAAAUGUCACUCAAGUCAUUGCAA